rnacentral:lncRNA from 1 species
CCCACGAAGGCAGAGGCUGCAUUUAUGUUGCUCGCCUGGCACUGCUUCUGCCUUGUAGUAAGUCAUAAUUGCAUGUUUCUUCUCUAUACUGAUUAAGCAAUUGUAUAAAACAACAUAUAUUAUUGUAUUGUUGAAUUUAUAACUUACAGAAAUGUAAUAUGUUUACCAAUAACAAUGCAAAGGAAGUUAGGGGGGAUACAAAAUUAUAUUAAAGAAAUGACACAAGAUGGUAAUUCAAAUCCACAGGAAGACAUGAAGAGA